GCGUUUAGCUCAGUUGGCUAGAGCACCUCCCUUACAAGGAGGGGGUCGGGGGUUCGAAUCCCUCAACGCC
rnacentral:tRNA from 1 species